rnacentral:rRNA from 1 species
AUUGAACGCUGGCGGCAGGCCUAACACAUGCAAGUCGAGCGGAGCGGCGGACGGGUGAGUAAUGCCUAGGAAUCUGCCUGGUAGUGGGGGAUAACGUCCGGAAACGGGCGCUAAUACCGCAUACUAUCAGAUGAGCCUAGGGCGGAUUAGCUAGUUGGUGGGGUAAAGGCCUACCAAGGCGACGCUCCGUAACUGGUCUGAGAGGAUGAACAGUCACGCUGGAACUGAGAAGCGGGCAAGAGUACGACGGGAGGGAGCAGUGGGGAAUAUUGGAGAAUGGGUGAAAGACUGAUGCAGCGAGGCCGCGUGGGGGAUGAAGGCUGUCGGGUUGUAAACGUCUUUCGCUAUCGAACGGGUAGGUGGAGAAGAAGCGCCGGCUAACUACGUGCCAGCCGCCGCGGUAAUUC